rnacentral:rRNA from 1 species
AUACGUAGGUGGCAAGCGUUGUCCGGAAUUAUUGGGCGUAAAGAGCAUGUAGGUGGGCUUUUAAGUCCGAUGUGAAAAUGCGGGGCUCAACCCCGUAUGGCGAUGGAAACUGAAUUUCUUGAGUGCAGGAGAGGAAAGGGGAAUUCCCAGUGUGGCGGUGAAAUGCGUAGAUAUUGGGAGGAACACCAGUGGCGAAGGCGCCUUUCUGGACUGUGUCUGACGCUGAGAUGCGAAAGCCAGGGUAGC